AAGGCUUGAAUCGACCCAUAUUUCCGGUGAUUGCGAUACCGCUUUCGGUGCACCGGCGAUGGCACGAACAAAAUUGAAUCCUACUGCUAGGGUGAAGGGGAAGGCCAAAAAUGCUGCAAGCAUCAAAAUGGGUGCCGUGAGUUCCAGCCAAGCAAGAUUAAUGGAAGGUUUGUUUAAUAUUGUAAGUAUAUAUAGUGCGUACGAAGCUUCGGAAUGACACAUGUGUUUACAUGAUGAGGCACUUGGAGACGUUCAUGGGCGAGUCUUCGUCGUUGUGGACAUGUGAUUUGGCUCCAAAAUUGAGAAAACAACUUAACCUUUUGCGAGUGUGUUACUGUGCAUCUCUUAUUGCAUGAUUGGGAUAAGAACAGUAUUCACAUUGCAAUGGGGGAAAGUGCAAAAGCGAGUUUCGAUGCAGGGUUCGAGGAUCCGACAUUCAACCUCGACGUUGCGUGGCUUGGGAAGUGAUGUUAUUUAGAAACUGUUCCAAGCUAUGAAUAUUGAAGUUUUACUUAUAUUUUUGCGUACCCUU